rnacentral:rRNA from 1 species
UUAGCAUAUCAAUAAGCGGAGGAAAAGAAACCAACAGGGAUUGCCUUAGUAACGGCGAGUGAAGCGGCAAUAGCUCAAAUUUGAAAUCUGGCGUUUUUGGAUGCCCGAGUUGUAAUUUGUAGAGGAUGUUUCGGUAUUAGCUCCGGUCUAAGUCCCUUGGAACAGGGUGUCGCAGAGGGUGAGAAUCCCGUACGCGACCGGCUGCUUUUGCCAUGUGAAACUCCUUCGACGAGUCGAGUUGUUUGGGAAUGCAGCUCUAAUUGGGAGGUAAAUUUCUUCUAAAGCUAAAUACUGGCCAGAGACCGAUAGCGCACAAGUAGAGUGAUCGAAAGAUGAAAAGCACUUUGGAAAGAGAGUUAAAAAGUACGUGAAAUUGUUGAAAGGGAAGCGCUUGCAAUCAGACCUGCUUGCAGUUGUUCAUCUAAGCUUUUGCCUAGUGCAUUCUUCUGCAAGUCAGGCCAGUAUCAGUUCGGGCGGUUGGAUAAAGAAUUCAGGAAUGUAGCUCCUCUCGGGGAGUGUUAUAGCCUGUUUUGUAAUGCAACCAGCCCGGAUUGAGGACCGCGCUUCGGCUAGGAUACUGGCGUAAUGGUUGUAAGCGGCCCGUCUUGAAACACGGACCAAGGAGUCUAACAUCUGUGCGAGUGUUUGGGUGUCAAACCCAUGCGCGUAAUGAAAGUGAACGGAGGCGGGAACCUUUUAGGUGCACCGUCGACCGAUCCUGAUGUCUUCGGAUGGAUUUGAGUAAGAGCAUAGCUGUUGGGACCCGAAAGAUGGUGAACUAUGCUUGAAUAGGGUGAAGCCAGAGGAAACUCUGGUGGAGGCUCGCAGCGGUUCUGACGUGCAAAUCGAUCGUCAAAUUUGGGCAUAGGGGCGAAAGACUAAUCGAACUAUCUAGUAGCUGGUUCCUGCCGAAGUUUCCCUCAGGAUAGCAGUAACGUUUUCAGUUUUAUGAGGUAAAGCGAAUGAUUAGAGGCCUGGGGGUUGAAACAACCUUCACCUAUUCUCAAACUUUAAAUAUGUAAGAAGUCCUUGUUACUUAAUUGAACGUGGACAUUUGAAUGCACCGUUACUAGUGGGCCAUUUUUGGUAAGCAGAACUGGCGAUGCGGGAUGAACCGAACGCGGAGUUAAGGUGCCGGAAUGCACGCUCAUCAGACACCACAAAAGGUGUUAGUUCAUCUAGACAGCAGGACGGUGGCCAUGGAAGUCGGAAUCCGCUAAGGAGUGUGUAACAACUCACCUGCCGAAUGAACUAGCCCUGAAAAUGGAUGGCGCUCAAGCGUGCUACCCAUACUCCGCCGCUGGGGUGAGAUCUAUACCCC